AUACGGAGGGUGCAAGCGUUGUCCGGAUUUAUUGGGUUUAAAGGGUGCGUAGGCGGUCGCCUAAGUCAGUGGUGAAAUACUACAGCUCAACUGUAGAGGUGCCAUUGAAACUGAGUGACUUGAGUACAGAUGAGGUAGGCGGAAUUUAUGGUGUAGCGGUGAAAUGCAUAGAUACCAUAAAGAACACCGAUAGCGAAGGCAGCUUACUAGGCUGUAACUGACGCUGAGGCACGAAAGCAUGGGUAGCGAACAGGAUUAGAUACCCCGGUAGUCC
rnacentral:rRNA from 1 species